UACGUAGGGUGCGAGCGUUACUCGGAAUUACUGGGCGUAAAGCGUGCGCAGGCGGUCUGUUAAGACCGAUGUGAAAUCCCCGGGCUCAACCUGGGAACUGCAUCUGUGACUGCAUAGCUAGAGUACGGUAGAGGGGGAUGGAAUUCCGCGUGUAGCAGUGAAAUGCGUAGAUAUGCGGAGGAACACCGAUGGCGAAGGCAAUCCCCUGGGCCUGCACUGACGCUCAUGCACGAAAGCGUGGGGAGCAAACAGG
rnacentral:rRNA from 1 species